UUUUUCUUUUGUUUUUUCUUUUAAAAGAAUCAGCUCAAAAGUGGUUCACCGUUAUGGCCGCUAUGAUAGCCACUACGGCUGACACACCUAUGAAUCUCAAUCACACUGCAAAAGCGGGAGUAACACAUGGUGCUUACCGCCACAACCGUUACGUAAUGGCCGCAACCGUUAUGUAACACCGCAUUUUGAAGCAUUGGGUACAUGUAAGAAUAUCAUGUAGUUUAUCUAAACUGCUAUGCGUUGCCUUAACUUUUUGGGGGCAUAAUAAAGUUUUGCCAAAUUAAAAAUAUGAAAAGUUGCUUUUAUUGAGGAAUUUAAAGUAAAACUUAGUUGAAAACAUGCCUCUUGUUUCUAGAUACCAGCACAAUGUUUCAAAAUGCAGUGUUACGUAUCGGUUGCGGUGGUAGGCACCACGCGUUACCCCUGCUUUUGCGGUGUGAUUGAGAUUUAUAGGUGUGUCGGUCGUAGCCAUUGUCGUAGUGGCUGUAACGAUGCUGUAACGGCCUGUUACGCACCGUUACACACUGUAUUGAGCUGAUUCUUUUCAAAAAAAACAAAAGAAAAAGCUGAAAAUAUAUAUAUUCAACAGAUUUUGUACAUACCUUAAUGGUUGAACAUAUUUUGUCUUGAGUUCUUUUCAGCUCGUGAACCACUUUGAAGUGACAUUCCAUCAUAUUCAGAAUAGAUCCACAACCUUCAGUCUUUAAAAUCUCUCCAAUUGAGAUUCAGAUCCACAAAUUUUCAACCAUCUUAAACUGAGUUUCUGACAAAAAAAUAAGGAAGAAUGGUUCAUGGGAAGAGGGAUACAGAGAGAAAAGGAAAUACAGAGGAGUGAGAGAUAGAGAGAGAAGAGGGAAGGGAUGAAGAACCUGUGUUGAAGAUGAAGGAGAUGAAUAAUAUUGGCUGCCUCUGUAAGGAGAUGAAGAACUUGUGUUAAACCUGUGACUUUGUGCAAGCCUGAUGCUGAAACUUACAAUGCCCUCAUCAAUGCACAUGGUUGAGCUGGUCAAUGGCAUUGGGCAGUGAAUAUUAUGGAAGAUACGCUUCGGGCAUCUUUUCUCCAGUCUCUGAGGCCAUCAUUCUACAGAAUACAUCUGUGACCUUAGCUUAUUUAAGUUAUUGUGCAGAUUCCUCCUAGUCGAUCAACACAUAACAACUUGAUCAAUGCAUGUGGAUCUAGUGGAAAAUGGAGAGAAGCUCUGCAAGUUUGCAGGAAGAUGACAGUGAAUGGAGUUGGGCCUGAUCUAGUGAGACACAAUAUUGUUCUGUCUGCUUACAAAAGUGGAGCUCAGUAUUUGAAAGCCCUGUCCUAUUUUGAACUAAUGAAAGGGACAAGUAUCCGUCCCGACACCACUACCCUUAAUAUUGUGAUACAUUGCCUGAUAAAGCUUGGACAUUAUGGGAAAGCUAAUUGAUAUUUUCAAUUCAAUGAGG